GACGAACGCUGGCGGCGUGCUUAACACAUGCAAGUCGAACGGAAAGGCCCUGCUUGCAGGGUGCUCGAGUGGCGAACGGGUGAGUAACACGUGGGUGAUCUGCCCCUUACUUUGGGAUAGGCCUGGGAAACUGGGUCUAAUACUGGAUAGGACCAUGCUGUAGGUGGUGUGGUGGAAAGAUUAGUUUCGGUAAGGGAUGAGCUCGCGGCCUAUCAGCUUGUUGGUGGGGUAAUGGCCUACCAAGGCGUCGACGGGUAGCCGGCCUGAGAGGGUGGACGGCCACAUUGGGACUGAGAUACGGCCCAGACUCCUACGGGAGGCAGCAGAGGGGAAUAUUGCACAAUGGGCGCAAGCCUGAUGCAGCGACGCCGCGGGGGGGAUGACGGCCUUCGGGUUGUAAACUCCUUUCAGCCAUGACGAAGCCCUUGUGGUGACGGUAGUGGUAGAAGAAGCACCGGCUAACUACGUG
rnacentral:rRNA from 1 species